GACGAACGCUGGCGGCGUGCUUAACACAUGCAAGUCGAGCGGUAAGGCCCUUUCGGGGGUACACGAGCGGCGAACGGGUGAGUAACACGUGGGUGACCUGCCCUCAGCUCUGGGAUAAGCCUGGGGAAACCGGGUCUAAUACUGGAUAUGACUCCAUGACGCAUGUUGUGGGGUGGAAAGCCUUGUGCGGCUGAGGAUGGGCCCGCGGCCUAUCAGCUUGUUGGUGGGGUGAUGGCCUACCAAGGCGACGACGGGUAGCCGGCCUGAGAGGGCGACCGGCCACACUGGGACUGAGACACGGCCCAGACUCCUACGGGAGGCAGCAGUGGGGAAUCUUGCGCAAUGGGCGAAAGCCUGACGCAGCGACGCCGCGUGAGGGAUGACGGCCU
rnacentral:rRNA from 1 species